CCUUUUCCUGUAACUUUUUCAUCCGCUUCUCUCGUCCGCCGCUCCCACGCCGGACCCCGUGGGCGCAAUGCGGCCAUCGCGGAGCUCGGGCGGAGGAGCUGCUCUGACAUCUCCAUCAGUUUUCACUCCACGUGGCUUUUUGCUGUCGUUUCUUUGCUGAGAUACACAGUUUAUCUGCUCCACUGAUGUUAUGCCACAACGAUGCUGGCCCACACCCUGAAGCUGCCAAAGGAAACGGGGCAUCGAUUUCCAUUACGGACAGAGCGGGGAUGCAGCACUGAAACCGGGCUAACGUGGCUCAUCUUUGUGCCACACCAACUGGAUCCCGUUGGACAGCUGUGCCCUGAGGUGCCCUUGUGCUGCCUGCAGGAACAUCAGAGGGACGAGGUUCCCCCCUGCCCCACUGGGUUCGGCCCCACUUAUCACAGAGAUGCCCGUGCAUGGCAGAGCUGUCAGUCAGCCCUGGACCGCUGGCUGGGGCUGAGAUAAGCUGAGCACACAGUCCGAAGGGCACGAGGCAUUCGGUGAGGCUCUGGGAUCUGUUCUGGAUGGGCACAGAGCUGGAAAACAUCUCUAAUUGGGGUGAGAUGACGGCACUCCAAGCGCUCUCUUGGCUGCUCUGGACCAAUCCUGCCAGGGUCUCUGCAGGCCAAACAUCCCCUAGGUUUGCUGAAGGACACCUGGGGGCUGCCCACACUCUGCGUCCACGCUCAGCAUCACUGAGCAUAACUCGGUGCUUGCCGUGUCUGCCUGCAGGGUUCCCAUGGCGUGACAACCCAGGGACCCCAGGGUGUUCCCAGGACCCUCUCCAGGAUCUGUGCCCCAGGGCUGGGUCUGGCCAUGCCUUGGGCUUGCCACAUCUUAGGAGCUGUUUGCCUGCAGGGCCCCGCUCCAGUUCCUUCCCAAAGCACUCAGGGAAGGGAGGUCAUCCUCUGCUUUGUGCAGAACAAAGCCUCAGGUCGCUCCUUUAUCUUGUUCACCCUCCCUUAUUACCAAUAGUUUUUCUUGUCCAACUGGCUUUCCCUGCUGCCACAUCCCUGAGAAGAAAGCACAGGUCUACACGCAGAGGUGAGGAAGGGUGCAAACUUCACUGAGAUCUGCUCCCAAACCCACUCUCUGUUUGGGUAACACAAAUAAACACCAAUUCCAUCGG